GAAUCCUACGGGGGGCAGCAGUGAGGAAUAUUGGUCAAUGGUCGGGAGACUGAACCAGCCAAGCCGCAUGAGGGAUGACGGUCCUAUGGAUUGUAAACCUCUUUUGUCGGGGAGCAAGGCCCGCCACGUGUGGCGGGAAGGAGAGUACCCGAAGAAAAAGCAUCGGCUAACUCCGUGCCAGCAGCCGCGGUAAUACGGAGGAUGCGAGCGUUAUCCGGAUUUAUUGGGUUUAAAGGGUGCGUAGGCGGAAGGUUAAGUCAGCGGUCAAAUGUCGGUGCUCAACACCGGCCUGCCGUUGAAACUGG
rnacentral:rRNA from 1 species